rnacentral:lncRNA from 1 species
CCAAAAAUUCAAGCAUUGAAGGAAUAAGGGAAAAAGUGCAAAAGAAGAGAUUUUAUAACACAAGACUUUAUUUAAUGUUUAAUUAUAUUAGGAUAAUUAUUAAGGAUAAUUAUUUAGAUUUAAAUUUAGGAUUUAUUUUUAUUUAUCUUUAAUUAUCUUUUUUUAUUUGUAUUUAUCUUUUAGAAUUUAAUUAGGAAUUGGUUAGGUUUCUUAGUACUAUAAAUAGGGGAUGAAGUGACACAAAUUUUGUCCAUCUUUUGUUGUAAAC